UUCCCUUCUAAUGGUGAUUCGCCACAAGAUCAAUGGUGAUGGGAUCAUUUGAGGUUGGGUGUUCAUCUAACGACAUGUCCUAGCUCAUCAGAUGCUACGAGUGGCAGCAUCACAACAGAGUGCGUGCGAGGAAGCCAGCCGCCCAACGCGCAUCCCAGAGGCUUUCUCGGACAGCCGACAGCCGUUCAUCCCACCGCCCAACUCCAUGGUGUAUUAUUCAAAAUAAAAAUUCCACAUCUACU
rnacentral:misc_RNA from 1 species